CUUUACCAAAAAAAAAAAAAAAAAAUCUCAUCGCUUCAUAGUACAGCCGUUCUAGAGAUUACCAAAAACCCUCACUCUCUCAUCCCUCACGGCCUGCCACCGAAGCCGGCUUCGUCAACCUCACCGACCACCCACUGGUUUUACGGCCUACGGUUAUUCUUAUAUUGGAGCGCCUUUUAAGGAGGUCAGAAUUCAGAGCAGAUACUGUAAUUGGGGCAAGGAUGUCUGAGGUUGGAUAUGCUCAUCUAAAGGAAGAAAUUGGUCAUGAUGUCAUAGCAACAUUGGCAGAGAUUCUUUGUUAUGAUGACAAACCUCUAUUUCUCUCUUUUAUGAAGGAGCUAUUUCAAAGAAAAGUACCAAAAACAGAAGAAGUUAGAAAGAAGGAAUCAUCUGAUUAUCAAGCUAAAUAUUGCCCACCAAAAAUUUUGCAUGGAAUUUGUAAGUCUGGCGUAAUAGAUUGUGCCAUCGCUUUUCUCGGAGGGGAGACCGGUUUCAUCGCUGAUCUCAAUAUUCCCUUUAACGAUGGAUUAUAUCCAUUGCAUUUAGCAGCUAAUGGUUUAUCAUAUGAAAUGAUUGCGACAUUGCUUAGCCAUGGAGCUCAGACUGAUGUCAGAACCAUAGAGGGUAAAUUUAGGGGCGACUUGUUUCCUCUCAAUGUAUCACUUGAAACAGUAAGUUAUCAUCGAUCCUUGAUUGAUUGGACCCCAAAACAAUCUAUCUUCAAAUUGAUCGUUGUUCUUUGUCUGCCUCAAAUGAAAGUACCAUUAGAAAUUAAUAGGUUGCUGGCAUGGAACACAAAGGAGGUUGAUAAAAUAUUUAUUCAUUAUGCUAUGGAGGGAGAACUUAUUGAGAUGGCUACUCUACUGAUGGUUGCUCGAGAAAAGUUAAUCCCUUUGAGCAUGUCAAUACGCAAAAGCAUCAUUGAAGAGAUUGUAGGACUAACUGAAGAUGAAAUCAAAUUGAUCGGAAGUCACAAGAAUGAUAAGUUGGUUGAAGAGAUUGUAGGACUAACUCAAGAUGAAAGCAAGUUGCUCGGAAUUAAUAAGAUUGGUAAGUUGGUUCGGUCGCUUAACGAUAUUAAGGCAGCGAUGACGCGGGGAAUAUUGUUGCUCAAAGUGUUUGAGAAGGCUGGUGUUGCUCUUGAAAAAUACAGGCAGUUAGUACAGAGUGAAAUGCCAAAAGAAAAGGUGGUCAACGACAUUAAGGCGCUGCUUGAGAGAGCCGGGUUUGUUAUAAACGACAAAGAUGUUGAUUUAAGUGACAUUGACUGUGAAAGUGAAAGUAUCAAAGAGGCAACGGAAGAAUUAGAAGAGAGUUUAACAUUGAGGUCUUAUUCAAAGGAUCUCUGGAUGCCACCUCCCUCACUGUCUAACAGUUUUUCCAAGGAAAAGAGUUCGGUCAUAUAUAAAACUUUUAGAACAUUCAUCGAAUAUGGGCCCCUUGUUUUUACACCUUCGUCACGGUCAUACGUUACAUUCCCGCUCAUGGAUAAAAAGACAAAUCGUGUUGCUAUAAGUGUUAACUUUUCGAGAACCCCUAGACCCCCAGCAAUGAUAGUAUCUGCGGCAUAUCUUCUAUCAAGAAAUCAGUUUGCCUCCUUGGCAUUAGCAAUCAAGAAGAGGUUAACUUGCAUAUGAUUGGCAAAUAAGAAGAGAGUUUAACAUUGAGGUCUUAUUCAAAGGAUCUCUGCAUGCCACCUCCCUCACUGUCUAACAGUUUUUCCAAGGAAAAGGUGUUAAAUAUUCGAGAACUGGUAGACCCCCAGCAAUGAGAGUAUCUGCGGCAUAUCUUCUAUCAAGAAAUCAGUUUGCCUCCUUGGCAUUAGCAAUCAAGAAGAGUAUAACUUGCAUAUGAUUGGCAAAUAAGUCAAUGGACUCAUGAUUGCACUGGGGGUUGACUUGGCCACUGUUUGAAUUGUAAAUGGAAGCUGUUAUAAGGGCACUAAAGGCCGUGCAUUUUCUUAAGAAGCAAAGCUGGGAGGCUUAUGCAAGUGACAAAUAAAAUACAGAAGAUCCUUCUUCUACUCAUGAUGCCGUGUUUUAUAGUUGUUAUUUUAUUAUUUAUUUGAGUUCUAAUCUCUCAACUUUGGCUGAGAGGAAGCUUUAGUAAGUUAGUCUUGUAACUCUAUGUUUUCAAUUGUUAAAUUUGUUUGAUGUUCAUACUAACUCAAUAAAAUAUUUAAACAAUUUUAAAUGCA